AGGAUAAUAGUUAAAAUUAACAUUUAAUUUGCAUUUAAAAAAUAUUGAUAAAUCAAUUUAUCUUA
rnacentral:tRNA from 1 species